GGUGGUUCUCAGGUGACACACCCCAGAAUUGGGCUUCCUCCUCUCGGGUUUUGGGUGCAUCACCUGAGAACCGCG
rfam:Myotis davidii contig113064, whole genome shotgun sequence.